UACGGAGGAUCCGAGCGUUAUCCGGAUUCAUUGGGUUUAAAGGGUGCGUAGGCGGAAUGGUAAGUCAGUGGUGAAAGCCUGCAGCUUAACUGUAGAGUUGCCAUUGAUACUGCCAAUCUUGAGUAUAAUUGAAGUGGGCGGAAUGUGUCGUGUAGCGGUGAAAUGCUUAGAUAUGACACAGAACACCGAUUGCGAAGGCAGCUCACUAAACUAUAACUGACGCUGAGGCACGAAAGCGUGGGGAUCAAACAGG
rnacentral:rRNA from 1 species